UCCAAAUGACAUGCAAUUGAAGA
rnacentral:misc_RNA from 1 species